AUGUCUCCUUUAAAGGUCAUAUGUUAAUGUACAAGAAUAGAUUCCAUUUUGAUAAUCUCUAAAUGUCACAGAUCGGAGAACAUUGAUGCAUUGGAGACAAUAAAAGGAUUGUUGGAUGCCCUAAUUGUGAAGAUGAAGAUGAGCAUAAUGUUGUUUAGUUUUGGCUAGUGAAACGAAAGCCACGCGAAUUCCCUGUCUACUCAGUACUUUGAGGUUUUUAGCAAGUGUUUGGGAAGUCAACUAAUUUGAUGAUUAUGCAGGG